rnacentral:rRNA from 1 species
UAGGGAAUCUUCGGCAAUGGGGGGAACCCUGACCGAGCAACGCCGCGCGAGUGAAGAAGGUUUUCGGAUCGUAAAGCUCUGUUGUUAAGGAAGAAAGAGUGUGAGAAUGGAAAGUUCAUGCUGUGACGGUACCUAACCAGAAAGGGACGGCUAACUACGUGCCAGCAGCCGCGGUAAUACGUAGGUCCCGAGCGUUGUCCGGAUGUAUUGGGCGUAAAGCGAGCGCAGGCGGUUAGAAAAGUCUGAAAGGAAAGGCAGUGGCUCAACCAUUGUAGGCUUUGGAAACUGUUUAACUUGAGUGCAGAAGGGGAGAGUGGAAUUCCAUGUGUAGCGGUGAAAUGCGUAGAUAUAUGGAGGAACACCGGUGGCGAAAGCGGCUCUCUGGUCUGUAACUGACGCUGAGGCUCGAAAGCGUGGGGAGCGAACAGG